AACGCACAUUGCGCUCCUCGGUGUUCCGAGGAGCAUGCCUGUUUGAGUGUCAGUAAAUUCUCAACCCCUCUCGAUUUGCUUCGAGGGGGAGCUUGGAUAGUGGGGGCUGCCGGAGUCCAGCAGGACUCGGGCUCUCCUGAAAUGCAUCGGCUUGCGAUCGACUUUCGACUUUGCGCGACAAGGCUUUCGGCGUGAUAAUGAUCGCCGUCUUCCGAAGCGCACGACGGAAAGGUCUCGUGCCUCCAACGCGUCGACGGCAACGUCUUCCUUCUUUAUGUUUGACCUCAAAUCAGGUAGGACUACCCGCUGAACUUAA
rnacentral:misc_RNA from 1 species